rnacentral:rRNA from 1 species
AUGAACGCUGGCGGCGUGCCUAAUACAUGCAAGUCGCGCGAACAGACGAGGAGCUUGCUCCUCUGACGUUAGCGGCGGACGGGUGAGUAACACGUGGAUAACCUACCUAUAAGACUGGGAUAACUUCGGGAAACCGGAGCUAAUACCGGAUAAUAUAUUGAACCGCAUGGUUCAAUAGUGAAAGACGGUUUUGCUGUCACUUAUAGAUGGAUCCGCGCCGCAUUAGCUAGUUGGUAAGGUAACGGCUUACCAAGGCAACGAUGCGUAGCCGACCUGAGAGGGUGAUCGGCCACACUGGAACUGAGACACGGUCCAGACUCCUACGGGAGGCAGCAGUAGGGAAUCUUCCGCAAUGGGCGAAAGCCUGACGGAGCAACGCCGCGUGAGUGAUGAAGGUCUUCGGAUCGUAAAACCCUGUUAUUAGGGAAGAACAAAUGUGUAAGUAACUAUGCACGUCUUGACGGUACCUAAUCAGAAAGCCACGGCUAACUACGUG